rnacentral:rRNA from 1 species
ACUGCUCAGUAACACGUGGACAACUACCCUUGGGACGGGGAUAACCCGGGAAACUGGGUAUAAUACCCGAUAGAUCUCGGAAGCUGGAAUGCAUCGAGAUCGAAAGCUCCGGUGCCCAAGGAUGGGUCUGCGGCCUAUCAGGUUGUAGUGGGUGUAAUGUACCUACUAGCCUAAAACGGGUACGGGUUGUGAGAGCAAGAGCCCGGAGAUGGAUUCUGAGACACGAAUCCAGGCCCUACGGGGUGCAGCAGGCGCGAAACCUUUACAAUGCGGGCAACCGCGAUAAGGGGACCUCGAGUGCCGACAUCUAAUGUCGGCUGUCGUGAUGCCUAAAAAGCAUUAUAUAGCAAGGACCGGGCAAGACCGGUGCCAGCCGCCGCGGUAACACCGGCGGCUCGAGUGGUGACCGCUAUUAUUGGGUUUAAAGGGUCUGUAGCCGGCCGGAUGAGUCUCUUGAGAAAUCUGGCCGCUUAACGGUCAGGCUUUCAGGAGAUACUGUCUGGCUCGAGGCCGGGAGAGGUGAGAGGUACUUCAGGGGUAGGGGUGAAAUCUUGUAAUCCUUGAAGGACCACCAGUGGCGAAGGCGUCUCACCAAAACGGACCUGACGGCAAGGGACGAAAGCUAGGGGCACGAACCGGAUUAGAUACCCGGGUAGUCCUAGCCGUAAACGAUACUCGCUAGGUGUCGGCCGCGGUGCGACCGUGGUCGGUGCCGUAGGGAAACCGUGAAGCGAGCCACCUGGGAAGUACGGCCGCAAGGCUGAAACUUAAAGGAAUUGGCGGGGGAGCACCACAACGGGUGGAGCUUGCGGUUUAAUUGGAUUCAACGCCGGGAAGCUUACCGGGAUCGACAGCAAUAUGAACGCCAGGCUGAAGACUUUGCUGGAUUAGCUGAGAGGUGGUGCAUGGCCGUCGUCAGUUCGUACUGUGAAGCAUCCUGUUAAGUCAGGCAACGAGCGAGACCCGCAC